rnacentral:rRNA from 1 species
GAUGAACGCUAGCGGGAGGCUUAAUACAUGCAAGUCGAACGGUAAGGUCACUGCUUGCAGUGAUACACGAGUGGCGCACGGGUGAGUAACGCGUACAUAACAUACCUAUCAGCGGGGGAUACGCUUUGGAAACGAAGUAUAAUACCCCAUAGUUUUUCGUAAUCGCAUGGUUAUGAGAAUAAAGUUCCGGCGCUGAUAGAUUGGUGUGCGUACUAUUAGGUAGUUGGUGAGGUUACGGCUCACCAAGCCGACGAUAGUUAGGGGGCGUGAGAGCGUGAACCCCCACACGGGUACUGAGACACGGACCCGACUCCUACGGGAGGCAGCAGUAAGGAAUAUUGGACAAUGGGCGCAAGCCUGAUCCAGCCAUCCCGCGUGCAGGAUGACAGCCCUAUGGGUCGUAAACUGCUUUUAUAUGGGACGAACCGCCUGGGUUUACUCGGGUUUGACGGUACCAUAAGAAUAAGCACCGGCUAACUCCGUG